ACGCUCGACACCUACGGGAAGCAGCAGUAGGGAAUUUUCGUCAAUGGGGGGAACCCUGAACGAGCAAUGCCGCGUGAGUGAAGAAGGUCUUCGGAUCGUAAAGCUCUGUUGUAAGAGAAAAAGGGCGCAUAUAGGAAAUGAUAUGCGAUUGAUGGUAUCUUACCAGAAAGCCACGGCUAACUACGUGUCAGCAGCCGCGGUAAUCUGAGCGGGCUGGCAAGGC
rnacentral:rRNA from 1 species